CGAACAAGGGCGCACGACGGAUGUCUUGGCAUCAAGAGGCGAUGAAGGACGUUGGAGCCUACGAAAAGCACAGGGGAGCCGGCAACCAGGCUGUGAUCCUGUGAUAUCCGAAUGGGGCAACCCACUCGAAAGAGUACCUAGUCCUGAAUGCAUAGGGACUAUGGAGCGAACGCAGAGAACUGAAACAUCUCAGUACCUGCAGGAAAAGAAAGCAACAGCGAUUUCGUGAGUAGCGGCGAGCGAAAGCGAAUAAGCCAGUGGAACUACGAACGCAUUGGAAUGUGCGACCGAAGAAGGUGAAAGUCCUGUAGUUGGAAACUGGUGAGCCCAUAGAUUAGGUUCGGGCUCGGGAAACCCGGAUUGAAGAUGGGGGGUCCACCCUCCAAGGCUAAAUACUACUUGAUGACCGAUAGUGAACAAGUAAGGCGACUGAACGAUGAAAACAACCGCGUCGAGCGGUGUGAAAGAGAGCUGAAAUCGUGCGCUUACAAGCGGUCGGAGUCCUUCGGGAUGACGGCGUGCUUUUUGCAUAAUGAGCCGGCGAGUUACUCUGUACGGCGAGCCUAAGGCCCAACGGGCCGGAGGCGGAGCGAAAGCGAGUCUGAUAAGGGCGCUAAGUCGUACGGAGUAGACGCGAAACCUUGUGAUCUACCGUUGGUCAGACUGAAGGGCGGGUAACACCGCCUGGAGGGUCGAACGGGUGACCGUUGAAAAGGUCUCCGAUGAACUGACGGGAGGACUCAAAGUGUAAUCAAACUGGGAGAUAGCUCGUUCUCUCCGAAAUAACUUUAGGGUUAGCCUCAGAAAGUAGCACGUGGGGGUAGAGCUACUGGAUGGUUUGAGCGGCCUACCGGCUAGCCGAACCAACCAAACUCCGAAUACCACGUGUGUAAUUCUGGGAGAUAGACGGUGAGUGACAAUAUCCAUCGUCAAGAGGAGAACAAUCCUCAUCACCAGCUAAGGUCCCUAAUCUCUGCUCAGUUCGAAAGGAAGUUGAAUUGCUGUGACAUCCAGGAUGUUGGCUUAGAAGCAGCCACCAUUUAAAGAGUGCGUAACAGCUCACUGGACGAGGAAUUCAGCGCCGAUAAUGAUCGGGAAUAAGCAGAGAGCCGAAGCUGUGGGCUCCGUAAGGAGCGGUAGGAGAGCGUUCUUCGCAGCGGUGAAGCGAUACUGAAAAGUUUCGUGGAGCGCGAAGAAGUGAAUAUGCCGGCUUGAGUAACGAUUAAUCGGGUGAGAAUCCCGAUCGCCAUAUAUCCAAGGUUUCCUGGGGAAGGUUCGUCCGCCCAGGGUUAGCCGGGACCUAAGACGAGGCCGAAAGGCGUAGUCGAUGGACAUCAGGUCAAUAUUCCUGAGCCAGCACCAAGGACGCAUUGUCGAGUUUCACGGCCUUAACAGAUUGGCAGGCCCUUGUGGCCGAUGUGAGACGAGAUGGUGACUAGAAAUACAGGUGCAUAGCCCGUACCAAAACUGACACAGGUGGAUAAGGCGAAUAGCCUAAGGCGCGCGAGAGAACGGUCGUGAAGGAACUAGGCAAGUUAACCCCGUAAGUUCGCAAUAAGGGGGGCCUCUCCUCACGGAAGGCCGCAGAGAAAAGGGUCUGGGAACUGUUUAUCAAAAACACAGCUCUGUGCUAAGACGCAAGUCGACGUAUACAGAGUGACGCUUGCCCGAUGCCGGAAUGUCAAGGAAGUGGGUCAUCGAAAGAGAAGCUCGCGACCGAAGCACCGGUGAAUGGCGGCCGUAACUAUGACGGUCCUAAGGUAGCGAAGUUCCUUGUCGGGUAAGUUCCGACGCGCAUGAAUAGCGUAAUCACUGGACUCCUGUCUCCACGACCGACUCGGUGAAAUAGUAGUGGCGGUGAAGAUGCCGCCUACCCGCAGCAAGACGGAAAGACCCCGUGGACCUUCACUAUAGGCCCGUAUUGACCACGAGCUUAGACUGCGUAGCAUAGGUGGGAGCCUUUGACGCCCGGAUUCCGGUCUGGGAAGAGGCACAGGUGAAAUACCACCCUGGCUUGGUUUGUGGUCUAACGUUGAUUCCCAUUAUCUGGGCAACGGACAGUGCGCGCUGGGUAGUUUGACUGGGGCGGUCUCCUCCAAAAGAGUAACGGAGGAGCGCAAAGUUCGGCUCAACACGGAUGGAAACCGUGUGUCGAGUGUAAGAGCACAAGCCGGAUUUACUGUGAGACCGACGGGUCGAACAGUCUCGAAAGAGGGCUCUAGUGAUCCUGCGAUCCCGUGUGGAAGGGUCGUAGCUCAACGGAUAAAAGGUACCCCGGGGAUAACAGGCUGAUCGCUCCCGAGCGUCCAUAGCGGCGGAGCGGUUUGGCACCUCGAUGUCGGCCCAUCACAUCCUGGGGCUGAAGGCGGUCCCAAGGGUCUGGCUGUUCGCCAGUUAAAGUGGUACGCGAGCUGGGUUCAGACCGGCGUGAGCCAGGUCGGUCCCUAUCUGUUGUGGGCGUUCCAAACUUGAUGGAAGUCAACCUUAGUACGAGAGGAUUGGGUUGGACGAACCCCUGGUGAUCCAGUUGCAUUGCUAAAUGCACAGCUGGGUAGCUACGUUCGGCAGGGAUAAACGCUGAAAGCAUCUAAGCGUGAAGCCCCUCCAAAGAUGAGGUUUGGUCUGAGACCGCAGGGAGACUACCUGCUUGAUAGGCCGUAUGUGUACGGGCUGAAAGGCCCUGUAGCUGAGCGGUACUAACGGUCGA
rnacentral:rRNA from 1 species